CACAGGGAGCCGACAGGAGGUGGGUUUGGAGAGCAGCUCUGACGCUCUCGUUCUCUCUCUGGGAUUCGGGACCCGGCGUCGCUGUGUGCCGUGCGGUACCCGGGGUGCGGGGAAGGGAGCUGAGCAGGGAAGUGUCAUUUGUACAAAUUGCCAGUUCGUGCCAGCUUGGGAGAGACCUCACAAGGGAAACCUGGAGCCUUCCCUGCUUUUCAUGUGAGCGGAUGCCCCUUUUAUUCCUGAGCAAGGAGUAAGUGGAGAAGAAAGGAGCCCCUGUCAGCCUCACGGAGACAAAUUGCUUCCUGCAGCAGAGGUGGCUCAGCGCUAACAACCACCCACUGCCAGAGGAAGCCUCGUGGUAAAAUCAUCCCCCGCUGCAAUCCCCUCUGCACGUUCACCCCAGGGCUGCAUUCGCCUCCUGCCCCAUUUCCAGCACCGAGU
ensembl:lncRNA